rnacentral:rRNA from 1 species
GACGAACGCUGGCGGCGUGCUUAACACAUGCAAGUCGAACGAGAAUUUGUGGAUCGAGGAUUUGUCCAAGUGAAGCAGAGGACAGUGGCGGACGGGUGAGUAACGCGUGAGGAACCUGCCUUUCAGAGGGGGACAACAGUUGGAAACGACUGCUAAUACCGCCUGAUACAUUUGGGGGGCAUCAUUUGAAUGUCAAAGAUUUAUCGCUGAAAGAUGGCCUCGCGUUUGAUUAGCUGGUUGGUGAGGUAACGGCCCCCCAAGGCGACGAUCAGUAGCCGGGGUGAGAGGUUGACCGGCCACCUUGGGAAUGAGAUACGGCCCCGACUCCUACGGGAGGCAGCAGUGGGGAAUAUUGGGCAAUGGGCGCAAGCCUGACCCAGCAACGCCGCGUGAAGGAAGAAGGCUUUCGGGUUGUAAACUUUUUUUAAGAGGGAAGAGCAGAAGACUGUACCUUUAGAAUAAGCCCCGGCUAACUACGUG